AUGUAUUUAUUUGUUACUGGGAACGGUGUGUUUGUCAUUGAUGGCGGAAAAGUCCAAUCUAAUCUUCAAAUCCAUUUUUGUUAUCUCACGUUCCAGAAACUAAUGGAACAUACGGAGGCAAUGAUGAGACUCGAAUGUCUAUACAUGGUAUGAUUACAUCAGCAGCAUCCUAGAUUAAUAUAGAGAACAAAGACGUGACACUUCCGACCUAAAUUAGUAAGAAAAAAGGGGAAGGAUAUACAGUAAUCCUACGUCAAUCGAAACAAGAGUCAUUUGGAAUUGUACGAUUCGUGGAUACCACGGACCCGCUGACACAGACGGUUGAAAUCUACGGAUCACACAGGCAAAAUGCCACAUAAUAUUUUGAUAUGUAAAUCAUUGAUAUUUGCAUGUUUAAUUUUGAAAAUCUAUGGAUUCAAUUUGGCUUUGGACGAGAAAACAGCAAGGUACAUGGUAUCACCUGUGGUGGAGCAAUUGGGGUCCGGCACUCCUCCUCAACUCCCAAAUACAGCGAAGAGUUCGUUCUAUGGAUACGAUUUUAACUUAUUUACAAAGAAAGAUGGGACCAUAAGUAUGACAAUCGGUUCCCCCAAAAUGACUGAUCCAGCAUUACCCGGUUUACAGGACACGAGCGCAAAGGUAAACCAAGAGGUUAAAGGAAGCAUUCUUUCUUGUGAUGUCAAGCCUACCUUUGUUAAACGUGUUCCCCCGAAAUGUAGACCUGCCCAUCCCGCAAAUCCGCAAGUGGGAGAUGGUUUUGGAAUGUUCGUACCAACAACUCCCACGGGAGAUGCACAGGCAUGUUCAACAACUCGGGCACAAGAUUGUGGAGAUUUGAGAUAUAGUCCCGGAUAUUGUUAUAAAUCAACAAAUUUUGGUUCAACAUGGCAACAAAACAAAGAGACAAAAUCACUGAGUUGUCCAACCACAGAUGUCGAAGUUUUAUUUGUAUUGGAUGGAUCAAGUUCAGUGGGAAAAGACAAUUUUGUAACUGUCAAACAAUGGGUGAAUGAUAUCACAAGGAAAUUGAACAUCGAAAAAGGCGGGGUUACUGUAGGCGUGGUACAAUACUCUCAUUAUUCUGAUAGAUAUCCAAUUACCAGCCAGCCUUGGAUCGUGACACACAUCAAAAUAGGAGAAUACAAAACAUAUGCUGCGUUUUCUUCUGCGGUUGAUAAAAUUACGUUGCAAGGAUUCACGACAUUUACUGGUAAAGCAUUGGAAAAGGUAGCUGUUGAUUUCAAGAAUACGCCAAACUACAACAAGCCGACAACAAAACAAGUUAUGGUUUUACUCACCGACGGAAAAGCAUCCGACAAAGAUGACGUACCUGGGAAUGCAGAAAAGUUGAGGGAUAUUGGCGUAAUACCCUACGCCGUCGGAGUUGGUGGUGCGAAGAAAGUGAACAGAACAGAAUUAAGACUGAUAGCAAAUGGAGAUGCGGCCGACGAUAAUCGCGUAUUUAUGGCACAGAAUUUUGCCGGGCUUGAUGCUAUUGCAAAAGAGUUACAAGCAGAAAUCGGUGGAUUGGUUCUGGAAGGAUCAAGCGGGGGUGCUGGAACUGCUGGUUAUAAAAUGCAAUUUGCAGCCGUUGGAUUAGCCGGAGCUUACAGUAAGCUGAAGCCAGUAAAGAAAAGGUUGCGAAGGUCAACAGCUAUAAACCCGGUAAAAUCUGCAAACUUUUGACUUGUGUGAGAGUGUGUGGUUGAGAGAAUGCCUGUGUUGUUUGUGUUGGCUGUGUUUCGUAUGGUUGGAUACGCGUUACAACAGCGUCAGCGAUGCGGUAUGCGCGGGAACAUUAACAUUAUUACGGCUCUGAGAAUCUUCUAACAUCUACGACUGAAAAUCAACGUAUAUAUACCAAGAUGAAAUGCCACGGAAGACACACUCGACUCGAAAAUAAAUAUUCUUGAAUUGCAAAGUUGCACGAAAUAUAUAUUUUUAGAAAAUAAAAUGCAUGAUUUAAUGUGCUAAUAUGUACAGCUUAUUUUCAAUAAAUUAGGCAUAACAGAAAUAGUCAUAGAAUAAAGUCAUCAUUUAUGUAGAAUACAUAUACUAUU